CUAAACUACAUACAAUUUGGCGCCAAACUGAUUAUCAUUAAUAAUUCUGGUAAUAUUUAAAAUUGCAUGCAAUUUUUGCAUGCGAUAAAUGGAGAAAAAAAAAGCAGGAAAGGGAGAAAUUAGAGAAAUGUAAAAUUAGAGAUAACUUAAUAGAAAGAUAAUAAUUGUGAAAAAUAAUAUUAGCCCCAGAGAAUUAGGGAUGGUUUUCCGUCUUUGUUAAUUCCAGCUGUGAAUAUCCAAGGUUGCCUUGGAUGCCAAAUAGCUGAGCUAAUAAAAGAAAGCUCUCCUUUAAUUACCUUUAGAGGGACAAAAACGGGAUCACUCAUUAGAUCUGUGGGCAUUCUGCAAUGGAAAACAUUAAUAGUGCCAUUUUUACUAGCAGAGAAAACCAUAGAUUUUCCUUGGUGGAAUUGUACUUUUUUGAUAGCUGAUUCACUAUAUCUUAAAAGUUUAUAAGGAGUAUUUCCAAGAUCCAGAUCAAACCAGGCAAUUCUUCCAUUGGAUUGUCCGACAAAGAUAUGUUUCCCUGAAGAAUCUAAAGAAAUGGUUGUUGGAUCUUCAAUACCAAUAAGUUUUUUGACCAAAGCUUUACCAGUAUUUUGGUUACCAAGCUUCUUAUUACCUGUUUUACUAGAUGUUAGGUCAACAAUCCUAAUACAUGUUUGAGUAGCAACAAUAAGCCAUGGGUUAGAUGAGUGAAACUGAACAGAUUUAACCAAUCCACUAAGUUUUUUAAAUGCAGUAAUUGAUGAGCAUCUAUUGAUAGAAUGAAUAACAACUCUUUGUGAAGGUGAAAUAGCUCUUGGAGAUACUGCAGCUAAAUACCCUCCUUUACUAUGCCAGGAUAAAUGUCUAAUAGUAGAUUGAUGUUUAAUUACAACAGCUGAGCUUAAUUCUUUAUUUAAUUCAGAAUUAGAAUCCAAAUUAAUGCUAUUCCAUGAAAGUAACUCCAAUUUACUGGAUUCUUUAUUAUAAGUAUGGAGAUCCUCAAAUAAUUCCAAAGAAUGUU
rnacentral:antisense_RNA from 1 species